rnacentral:rRNA from 1 species
UGGGGAAUUUUGGACAAUGGGGGCAACCCUGAUCCAGCCAUGCCGCGUGAGUGAAGAAGGCCUUCGGGUUGUAAAGCUCUUUCGGCGGGGACGAAACGGUUCGUGCUAACACCGCGGACUAAUGACAGUACUCGCAGAAGAAGCACCGGCUAACUACGUGCCAGCAGCCGCGGUAAUACGUAGGGUGCAGGCGUUAAUCGGAAUUACUGGGCGUAAAGCGUGCGCAGGCGGCUCCUUAAGUCAGAUGUGAAAUCCCCGGGCUUAACCUGGGAACUGCGUUUGAAACUGGGGAGCUAGAGUGUGGAAGAGGGGGGUGGAAUUCCAGGUGUAGCAGUGAAAUGCGUAGAGAUCUGGAGGAACACCGAUGGCGAAGGCAGCCCCCUGGGCUAACACUGACGCUCAUGCACGAAAGCGUGGGGAGCAAACAGGAUUAGAUACCCCCGUAGUCC